UACGUAGGUGACAAGCGUUGUCCGGAUUUACUGGGCGUAAAGAGCGCGCAGGCGGUCGAUCAAGUCGAGUGUGAAAGCCCCCGGCUCAACUGGGGAGGGUCAUUCGAUACUGAUCGACUCGAAGGCAAGAGAGGGUAGUGGAAUUCCCGGUGUAGUGGUGAAAUGCGUAGAUAUCGGGAGGAACACCAGUGGCGAAGGCGACUACCUGGCCUGUUCUUGACGCUGAGGCGCGAAAGCUAGGGGAGCAAACGGG
rnacentral:rRNA from 1 species